GUGGUCUAGUGGUAAAAUUGUACCCUGCCACGGUACAAACCCGGGUUCAAUUCCCUGUGGACU
rnacentral:tRNA from 1 species